UGGGGAAUAUUGCACAAUGGAGGGAACUCUGAUGCAGCGACGCCGCGUGAACGAAGAAGGCUUUCGAGUCGUAAAGUUCUUUUAUAUGGGAAGAUAAUGACGGUACCAUAAGAAAAAGCCCCGGCUAACUACGUGCCAGCAGCCGCGGUAAUACGUAGGGGGCUAUCGUUGUCCGGAAUCACUGGGCGUAAAGGGUUCGCAGGCGGAAAUGCAAGUCAGGUGUAAAAGGCAGUAGCUUAACUACUGUAAGCAUUUGAAACUGCAUAUCUUGAGAAGAGUAGAGGUAAGUAGAAUUUUUAGUGUAGCGGUGAAAUGCGUAGAUAUUAAAAAGAAUACCGGUGGCGAAGGCGACUUACUGGGCUCAUUCUGACGCUGAGGAACGAAAGCGUGGGUAGCAAACAGG
rnacentral:rRNA from 1 species